CUAUGCGCCUUGCCAGCCCGCUCAGGUGUCCAGCCGCCGCGGUAAUACAGAGGUCUCAAGCGUUGUUCGGAAUCACUGGGCGUAAAGCGUGCGUAGGCGGUUUCGUAAGUCGUGUGUGAAAGGCGGGGGCUCAACCCCCGGACUGCACAUGAUACUGCGAGACUAGAGUAAUGGAGGGGGAACCGGAAUUCUCGGUGUAGCAGUGAAAUGCGUAGAUAUCGAGAGGAACACUCGUGGCGAAGGCGGGUUCCUGGACAUUAACUGACGCUGAGGCACGAAGGCCAGGGAGCGAAAGGG
rnacentral:rRNA from 1 species